UCUCGGUCGACUAAAAGGAAAGUCACCCCGGAUAAGGGAAAUAUUGGUUCAAAUCCAAUCUGAGAU
rnacentral:tRNA from 1 species